UACGUAGGUGGCAAGCGUUGUCCGGAGUUACUGGGCGUAAAGCGCACGCAGGCGGUCCUAUUAGUCUGGGGUGACAGUUCCCGGCUUAACCGGAAAAGGACUCUGGAAACUGUAGGACUUGAGGGCUUCAGAGGGAUGUGGAAUUCCAGGUGGAGUGGUGAAAUGCGUAGAGAUCUGGAAGAACACCAAAGGCGAAGGCAGCAUCCUGGGAAGUUCCUGACGCUCGGGUGCGAAAGCCAGGGGAGCGAACGGG
rnacentral:rRNA from 1 species